UGGCGGUGGCAGCAGCGCAGGACGCAGAGGAGGGUGAUGAGGUGAUGUGGUGAUGGCGGAUUGGGGGAUGUGGAGGGGGUGCUCCUGGGACAGCUCUGCAGCAGCAACUUGGUUCCUUUUCCAUUGUAGGAACUGCUUUUCCUUCAGCCUUGUUUUUCCCCUCUUGAUUCUCUCCCCAAAGGGGCCUGGAGUCUCAGGGCAGCAGUGGGCACAGACAGGCGUCUAGGGGCUCUUUCUGGGCCCCCACAGCCUUUUGGAGAAGAUUCUCCAUUUUCACCUGCCAGCUUUUGCUCAGCAUGGGCUUCAAACAUGAUUUGGGACCAGCAUUUGGUUUGGAAGCCUGCUCUCCAAGCCCAAGCUUCAUGCAGACCAAAAUGCUGGGGGUCAGCCCUGGGCCUUGGCAACCUCACAAACACCUUUGGAGAUGUUUCCCACACUGCUUUGUCCCCCGAGAUCUGUGGGGGGCACAGAAGGUCAUUUCCUCCUGCCCUUCCCAUGUCACUGGCUGUGAGGGCCUCCAUGGUGGGUCCAGUGCAAGUAAGUCUGGAAUUUCAAAAUUGGAGGGAAACAGACAUUUUAUGAUUUUUUUUUCCUACAUUCUUCCCCUUUUCCCAUCCCUUUGCAUGGGUUUGGAAAGUUCGGAGGAACAUGAAGGAUGUGUUACUUUUAUCCAUUACUUUGCCUCUGUAGGUGCAGCUUACGAGCUGAUCCAUGUUAUCAAAUCACCAAUUGAUUUCUUGGGUUUAAAAGACUGUUCCCCGAGAUUCAUUUUGCUGUGAGCAAAUGCAGCUGUAACGCCUUGCAUUUUGUUAGCCUGCUUCUUCUCAUGGUCCUUUUGACAGGAACAAUUCCACUGUGACUUUAGAAAAAGCACCACUUGGAAAUAUUUUAGUCUGAGAUAAGAGUAUACAGAUGGAUCUGUUCAUCCUGAAAGUGGCGGCUUUACAAACACAGAUGAUGUGUUUGGAAGGAGAAAGGAGUUCAGAGGAACAGGUUGAAAUGGGCUUGGCUUGUUCUGUGCACAUGGCCAGGAUCUCCUUUAAGGCAUUUGCAGGGGAGAAAUAGUAGAGUAGUGAUAGAUAUUCAGCUGGUUUGAAAUUCAGGCUGGAUGCACGUUCAUUGGAAUGGGUGAUUUUCAUACAUUUGAACAGCAGAAUCAAGGCAGCUCUAUCAGGUCUCCUCACUUAGACCUAUGGUGCAUAAUACUCUGUCAUUGUUUUUUCUUCCAGGGACCUAACACAAUUGUGAUCUGCAUGGUCAUCUUACUGAACAUUGGUCUGGCCAUCCUAUUUGUACAUUUUUUGACAUGAGGUCCCCCUCGGACAAGGCGUUGCUGCUCACUGAGACCAUGGACCUUGGUGGGGAUUU
rnacentral:lncRNA from 1 species